CAGUUUCGUAGUGAACUGCGGAAGGAUCAUUA
rnacentral:rRNA from 1 species